GGUUUGAUCAUGGCUCAGACAGAUUGAACGCUGGCGGGAUGCUUUACAUGCAAGUCGAACGGCAGCACGGACUUCGGUCUGGUGGCGAGUGGCGAACGGGUGAGUAAUGUAUCGGAACGUGCCUAGUAGCGGGGAUAACUACGCGGCGUAGCUACCGCAUACGCCCUUCGGGGAAAGCGGGGGGACCGGGCCUCGCACUAUUGCAGAGCGGCCGAUAUCGGAUUAGCUAGUUGGUGGAGUAACGGCUCACCAAGGCGACGAUCCGUAGCUGGUUUUUGAGAAGGCGACCAGCCACACAGGACUGAGACACGGCCAGACUCCUACGGGGAGGCAGCAGUGGGGAAUUUUUUGGACAAUGAAGCCUGAUUAAGCCAUCCCACGUGUGCGAUGAAGGCCUUCGGGUUGUAAAGCACUUUUGGCAGGAAAGAAACGGCACGGGAUAAUACCCCGUGCAACUGACAGUACUGAGAAUGGCCUUCAUAAGCUACGUGCCAUGGUGGCAACCGUAGAGGUGCAAGCAUAAUGAAUUACCGGUGAAAGCGUGCGCAGGCGGUUCGGAAAGAAAGAUGUGAAAUCCCAAGGCUUAACUUUGGAACACAUUUUUAACUACCGAGCUAGAGUGUGGCAGAGGGAGGUGGAAUUCCGCGUGUAGCAGUGAAAUGCGUAGAUAUGCGGAGGAACACCGAUAGCGAAAAACAUUGCUUCCUGGGAUAACACACAGUAACUCAUGCGAAAGCCGUGGGGAGCAAACAGGAUUGAUACCUGGUAGUCCACGCCUAACGAUGUCAACUAGCUGUUGGGGCCUUCGGGCCUUGGUAGCGCAGCUAACGCGUGAGGCUGACCACCACUGGGAGUACGAUCACCGAUUAAAACUCAAAGGAAUUGACGGGGACCCGCACAAGCGGUGGAUGAUGUGGAUUAAUUCGAUGCAACGCGAAAAACCUUACCUACCCUUGACAUGUCUGGAAUCCCGAAGAGAUUUGGGAGUGCUUCGCAAGAGAACCGGAACACAGGUGCUGCAUGGCUGUCGUCAGCUCCGUGUCGUGAGAUGUUGGGUUAAGUCCGCAACGAGCGCAACCCUUGUCAUUAGUUGCUACGAAAGGGCACUCUAAUGAGACUGCCGAUGACCUCGGAAGAUGGGGAUGACGUCAAGUCCUCAUGGCCCUUAUGGGUAGGGCUUCACACGUCAUACAAUGGUCGGGACAGAGGGUCGCCAACCCGCGAGGGGAGCCAAUCCCAGAAACCCGAUCGUAGUCCGGAUCAUGAUCUGCAACUCGACUGCGUGAAGUCGGGAAUCGCUAUUAAUCGCGGAUCAGCAUGUCGCGGUGAAUACGUUCCCGGGUCUUGUACACACCGCCCGUCACACCAUGGGAGUGGGUUUUACGAAGUAGUUAGCCUAACCGUAAGGGCGUUACCACGGUAGGAUUCAUGACUGGGGUGAAGUCGUAACAAGGUAG
rnacentral:rRNA from 1 species